rnacentral:tRNA from 1 species
GCCUUGUAGUAUAUCUUACGCUAGAAUGCAAAUCUAGAGACGAACCCUAAAGGUGUUCCAGGGCU